UGGCGGGAUGCUUUACACAUGCAAGUCGAACGGCAGCACGGACUUCGGUCUGGUGGCGAGUGGCGAACGGGUGAGUAACAUAUCGGAACGUAUCCAAUAAUGGGGGAUAACUAAUCGAAAGGUUGGCUAAUACCGCAUACGCCCUACGGGGGAAAGCUAGGGACCUUCGGGCCUGGCGUUAAUGGAGCGGCUGAUAUCUGAUUAGCUAGUUGGUGAGGUAAAGGCUCACCAAGGCGACGAUCAGUAGCUGGUCUGAGAGGACGACCAGCCACACUGGAACUGAGACACGGUCCAGACUCCUACGGGAGGCAGCAGUGGGGAAUUUUGGACAAUGGGCGCAAGCCUGAUCCAGCCAUUCCGCGUGAGUGAAGAAGGCCUUCGGGUUGUAAAGCUCUUUCGCAAGGGAAGAAAACUUAUCCUCUAACAUAGGAUGAGGUUGACGGUACCUUGAUAAGAAGCACCGGCUAACUACGUGCCAGCAGCCGCGGUAAUACGUAGGGUGCGAGCGUUAAUCGGAAUUACUGGGCGUAAAGCGUGCGCAGGCGGUUUUGUAAGUCAGAUGUGAAAUCCCCGAGCUCAACUUGGGAACUGCGUUUGAAACUACAAGACUAGAAUAUGUCAGAGGGGGGUAGAAUUCCACGUGUAGCAGUGAAAUGCGUAGAGAUGUGGAGGAAUACCAAUGGCGAAGGCAGCCCCCUGGGAUAAUAUUGACGCUCAUGCACGAAAGCGUGGGGAGCAAACAGGAUUAGAUACCCUGGUAGUCCACGCCCUAAACGAUGUCUACUAGUUGUUGGUGGAGUAAAAUCCAUGAGUAACGCAGCUAACGCGUGAAGUAGACCGCCUGGGGAGUACGGUCGCAAGAUUA
rnacentral:rRNA from 1 species